rnacentral:rRNA from 1 species
GACGAACGCUGGCGGCGUGCCUAAUACAUGCAAGUCGAACGGAGUGGCGCACGGGUGAGUAAUAUAUAGCUAAUCUGCCCCUUGCUGGGGGACAACAGUUAGAAAUGACUGCUAAUACUCCAUAGCAAGGGAUGAGACUAUAUCGUAUCAGCUAGUCUGUGAGGUAACGGCCUACCGAGGCUAUGACGCGUAACUGGUCUGAGAGGAUGAUGAGUCACAUUGGAACUGAGGCACGGUCCAAAAUCCUUCCGGAGGCAGCAGUAGCGAAUCUUGCGCAAGGGGGGAAACCCUUACGGAGCAACGCCGCGUGGAGGAUGACACUUUUCGAAGCGUAAACUCCUUUUGUUAUGGAAGCGGUACCUAACGAAUAAGCACCGGCUAACUCCGUGCCAGCAGCCGCGGUAAUUC